UCAUAUCAUAUCAUCCUAAUCUCAGUCCAAUUGAAAUCUAUGCGGCAGAAAUUGUUUUUCACAACCAUCGUCCUACAUUAGCAACUUAAUUGUCAAUUGCAUAGUCAAGUUUACAAUUGUUUCAAUCUAAACACACACAUUUCUUUACAGAUAUCCACUAAGUAGUAUCCAUACAAGACUACGUACAUGUACAUAGUCUUGUAUGGAUACAAAAGCAUAGUAUUUGUAAUUUGUAAAACCAUUUUUCUUUGAAUUUCUAAUUUAUUUAUGCUUUUGUAUUGAAAAGUUGAAACCAUUUUAUUAAUUGAAUUACUGUAUUGAAAAGUUAAUAAAUAAAUUAGAAAUUCAAAGAAAAAAACUAAUAUUAUUUUACCUGAUGAUGAUUAUCGGAAUUAGCGACAUCGAAAAUUGAUGAUUCCAUAUUUUCCAAUGUAAUAUUACAAAUUCUUUGAGAUUGUUCAAGAAAUGGAGAGAUUUCCAUUGUUUGCCAAUCAUUAUCAAUCGUCGUCGUUGUUUCUUCAACGUUCACUAUUUUUUCUUCAUUCUUCACUGUUUCUUCAACAUUUUCAUUCUCAAUUGUUUCUUCCGUAGUAUUCUCUUCCAUCUGCAAGAGUUUUUUUUUUUUUUUUUUCCCGCUGCAAAUUGUUUGGCGGAAGAAGAAGAAGAUGUGUGCCCUAAAUUUGUUUAGGUUUGAGGCGGAUAUUCAUUUGGGGUGAACUUAUUCUAUCAAGG
rnacentral:lncRNA from 1 species